UGAUGGCUGAGGAUCAAGAGGAGAGACAGUGAUACAGCAGUAGAGUUACAAUGACAACACAAAUCACCUGGACGGAAGGAACGAGAUUUUUAGAAGUUUAGAAAACCAUCCCAACCCUGACACAGAAGCAAAAUGUGAAAGAAGUGUCAAGCGGAACUGCUAUACUGGAGUUGAUUCUGACGAAUUUCAAACUGGUUUGCCUGAGCAGAAAUAGUAGGAAUCCUAGGCACAAAGGACUCCCCAGAGUUUCUGAGAGAAAAAGAUUUAAAAUCCAAGAAUAAUCUAAAAUGUGCCUUCUAUUUUGAGAGUGCAGAUAUAAAAGGGUUCAGAGAAAGGUUCUGUGUUCUUUGGCUCUGAAUCAUAAGCCACGUCCACUUCUCCUUUCAUCAAUAUAGUGACAUAAUGGUAAUCAUCCUUC